rfam:Picea glauca, whole genome shotgun sequence.
AGAGUUCUAUUUCAAUGGAAGAGCACUUGCCUUAGAAGCAUGAGGUUGGUGGUUCGAUUCCUCCGUGCCCUA